UGCAAAUGAAGUAAUUGCAGAAAACAAAACCUGAAGAACUCAGUCUUCGACGGGAAUAGAACCCAGUGCCGGUCUCGGAUACUAGUUGGCCGCUCAGUCUACCAACUAAGCUGCGAAGCCACAAGGUACCAGAACAAGACGAGAUGCUGGAAGAAUAACCCCGACGCUAGACCGACUUUCACUAACUUGAAAAACCAGCUGAAAGACAUGGAAACCUUAUACGAGAGACUGAUCAACAUGGAAAUGUAGGAUAAGCAUUUGUAUGCAAACCUUGAAGAUUUAACAGUAUAGAUGGUAAAGCUUCCUCACUGUCUGAUGGCCUGAAUGUUUGAACGCUUUGCUACUAUAGCUUAUGGAAGCCGGUUUUAUUCCAAGUGGGUUGCCAAAAUGGAAUGACUGCUUUGUGUCGAUUGGCUAUCUCAUCUGGUGGUCAUAAUUAGCAUAAAUUAUCAUAGGUAACGAGAGACCACGAGGUGGAAAUAAA